UACGGGGGGGGGCAAGCGUUGUUCGGAAUUACUGGGCGUAAAGGGCUCGUAGGCGGCCAACUAAGUCGGAUGUGAAAUCCCCAGGCUUAACCUGGGAACUGCAUCCGAUACUGGAUGGCUUGAAUUCGGGAGAGGGAUGCAGAAUUCCAGGUGUAGCGGUGAAAUGCGUAGAGAUCAGGCGGAACACCCGUGGCGAAGGCGGCCAGCUGGGUCGUCCCUGACGCUGAGGCGCGAAAGCGUGGGGAGCAAACAGG
rnacentral:rRNA from 1 species